UCCCUGGUGGUCCAGUGGCUAAGACUCUGCACUCCCAAUGUGGGGGUGGGGGGGGGGGCGCAGGUUCAAUCCCUGGUCAGGGAA
rnacentral:tRNA from 1 species